UGGGGAAUAUUGCACAAUGGGCGAAAGCCUGAUGCAGCAACGCCGCGUGAGUGAUGAAGGCCUUCGGGUUGUAAAGCUCUGUCUUUUGGGACGAUAAUGACGGUACCAAAGGAGGAAGCCACGGCUAACUACGUGCCAGCAGCCGCGGUAAUACGUAGGUGGCAAGCGUUGUCCGGAUUUUACUGGGCGUAAAGGAUGCGUAGGCGGAUUUUUAAGUGAGAUGUGAAAUACCCGGGCUUAACUUGGGUGCUGCAUUUCAAACUGGGAAUCUAGAGUGCGGGGAGAGGAGAAUGGAAUUUCCUAGUGUAGCGGUGAAAUGCGUAGAGAUUAGGAAGAACACCAGUGGCGAAAGGCGAUUCUCUGGACCGUAACUGACGCUGAGGCAUGAAAGCGUGGGUAGCAAAACUGGAUUAGAUACCCUGGUAGUCCACGCCGUAAACGAUGAGUACUAGGUGUAGGAGGUAUCGACCCCUUCUGUGCCGCAGUUAACACAAUCAAGUACUCCGCCUGGGAAGUACGAUCGCAAGAUU
rnacentral:rRNA from 1 species